UAGACACAAAGCCUGCGAAUUCCCCAAAUGUGGGAAUCUCGACUGCAUAAUUUCUGGUAGUGGGGGACUGCGUUCGCGCUCUCCCCUGAUUUCACUGGUGAAAAAUAGAGGUUGUCAUGGACAUUUUAUGCAUGCUUCAACUCAUAAGAGUCCAUGGUAAUGUACAGUGCUGUAAAAUUACAUCUUAUCAUUUAUCACUUUGUUUUUUAACUAAAAUUCUAGAAUUUUGUAUCAAUAUUGAGAUUUGAGUUUACACAGAAUAUUGAAUGUGCUACACUGCACUGUUUAUAAGUAUAGAAAAUAAAUGGGCUGAUAUCAAUGCAGCAAAUAAGUGAAGAGAAUUUGGUGUUGGUGAUCAUCAGCAGUUAACUGUAUAAUGUAAAUCUAAGCAUGUAUAUUAGUAAUUAAAAGCCCUUCUUUUAGAAAUGACCAGUAAAAAAACUAACAGUGAAAGUCUACUACGUCUCAGCUACAAGUUUUUUGUGAAUGUGGGUUACCUGAAAGAGUAAGCAUAUUAUUAAAAACUCUUGUAAGCUAUGAAUUUUUGUAUAAAAUUUAUCAUUAAAUUACUAGCAUACCUGUUUGCAAGUAAACCUGUUUUAAACCUUUGACUUAGUGUUUAUGGCUGGUCUUUACAAAGUUUCUUAAGUGAUAAUCAGUGUAAUUAUAAUGGACAAGCAGAGGUCAAAGGUGGUCUUAACCCAUGUAGAAAGUGACCCACAUCACAAGUGUGCAGAUGAAGAGAUUCAGGAAUUUUAUUACUAAUUAGCACCAAACAAGUGUUAAAGGAAACAAACAAGCAGAGUCAACAGUAAAUGAAAUUCGUUUAUGUCAGCUGAAUGUACUUGUUUACUUAUGCCCAUUAAUAACUACAUACAUUUUUUUGUACAGCAUUUUCAGGCAGUCACCUUCAAGUGUGACUCAUAAUCAUGGCCAGGUGAUGACAAAGUGGCAGUGGCAAGCCAGGGUGUGGAAGGUGGUGAAAUUAUGGGAGAGCAUGAACGCAGACCCUCCUACUAGAAAUUCCUACAUUUCCAAGUCAGGAUUCGCACUUGGAAUUCGCACACGGGAGGAACGUCAUCCUGCGUAAAAACAACCUUCAACCAACCCAACAUGCUGAAAUUAGCUAGCCAGCCUCUGAACAGUGUUUCGGCUACUGGUGUUGAUUUGUACAACACUCAUUGAGCUUCACUCAGAAUGCCUGGGAAAUGUUAGCUUAACCAGCAAUGGCUAGAAACCAGAUGGAGCAAAAAAGCACAUUAUAGCAUGCUGUUACUGCCUGAAGAAAUUUGACAAUGGAAAUAUAGAUGAGUUAGCACUGAAAAAAAUAUGAAAGGAACUCUGAACUGUAAAAAGGAUAGAAGCACAUUGCAGCUCAAAACCAUAGCGGCAAGGGGCAAACCAUAUCAUCGCUUUCUUUCAUUCACACAUUUUCUAUUUUACUAGGGGAAUAGUGAGUCCAGUGCCAGUCUGAGUUCACAGUGUUUAAGUAGUGCAUCUCUGGUUAGUUAGCAUGCCUCAGCUGGGAUUGUAGCCUUGUCUCAGCCCUUCCUUCGAGGCACUAUUUGUUAUUUUAGUUUGUUAUUUUGCCUUUCUUAUUUUUGGCAGCAAUCCUGGGUGGAGAUCUAAUCUCUGUUGGGGGGUACGCAUUCGCACAUUGGGGUUCAAGCUCAUGGCCCGUAUGUAGCGAGUUGUGCGUUUAAAGUCGCCUCGAGCCUGGUAAGCUACUGAAGACUAGAUAGGUUUAGUUAGUUUGGUUGGUGAUUUUGAAGAGGCUUACUCCACUCUUGUACAAUAUUUCUGCUCCUCGAUGGUUAGAUGGAUAAGUCGGAAUGUUUUCUGAGCCCCAAGAUUGAUCAUCCGCAUGUGGUGUUUUAGCUGUUCCCUUGUGUUGUAGUGGCAGACAACAACCUCAUUCGAGACUGCAGUUAUCGUUGCCGGAUCUUUGGCUCUAACAGCUUUGAUAGCAGCUUCAAGUCUGUGUGGUUGUAGGCCAGCACUGCCCCAGCUAGUGCACACUUAAAAGCAGCAUACUUGGAGUGAGACUCUGUGCAAAUGACGGCAUUAAAUCGGUGGAUCCACUGAAAGAUGUCCAGACCCACGACUAUCCUACCGUCCACCCAAGGCUGGAACAAAACCUCCACUGUGGUUCGGCCCUGUGCACGGCAACACCAGUGAUCAACGUACAGGAUUUUAGGAAAAGGUUGAUUUGGCCAUCAGAAACCUGUCCACAACACCUCAGCACAUUGGAUUCUUUGGAGACUCCUCAAGUCAGAACAAAGGAUACUAUCUGGGGAUGCUAGUUUCCGAUGCUGGUGAACCACUCGACAGAGCCUGCACCUUUCCAAGACAGCUUCAUUAGCACCUAAAAAAUAUGUUAAUGUCACAUAAUGCACCUUGCACAGUCAGAUUCUAUUGUUUUUAAGUAAUUUAUUAACAAUGUUUAUAACGGAGCUCUUUAAAAAGAAAUGGAAGCUAAUCAGUAAAAUGUUUUACAAUUAGCAUUAUGUAUUGAUUUACAUAUUUUCUAUGUGAAAUCCCUUUUCAGCCCAGUGGUAAUAGUAGAGAAGAUCUGGCUCAUGUAGUCCUGAACGAUACUGGCCUCUGCCAACAAGAAGGUAUGUCACAAGAGCUUUUUUUUUCGGUUCUGUCCCUUAAAAGUGCACAAUUUUCCUAACCACACAACGCCUGUAAACUAAUUUGGCUUUAAAUUGUGUAGAACACGCUUCGUGUUCGAUGUACUCACUUGCUGGUGAGGACAGCAGGGAGCAUGGCCUGAUGGCUUUCUAAACAACCAGCAGCACACUUGAUUCUACUUGCUUAAUCAGCUAGUCUCAGCCUUUAAACAAUUGUUUGGUUAUAAAGGAUAUGCCAUUGCUUGGCUGAAAUGAAAACAUAGACCCUCACUGGCCCUUUACGGAUCAGAGUAUGGUGACCCAUGCGCUAAACCAUACCCAAGUUGAAGGCCUUCUUGCCAGAUUAAGGACCAGUUUUGCUGCAGCAACAUGUUUUCCACCAAAACGGGGUGUUGUAUACUAAAAAAAGAAAAAUAAAUUAGUAUUAAGUAGUAAAACACUUAGUGCAAGUGGUAUCAUAUAUACUUCUUAAUAAAUUAAAAAAAAAAGCCAAAAACAUACUUUUCUUAAUCUUACACUGAUAGAGAUUUGACAUUAAUUAAUGUGUAGAAAUCUCACUGAUUGGGAACAGAAAAAAAAGAAAAUCAUAUAUUUACCACAUGCAAAUACUUAAAACUGUUUUGAGGAAGAAUGCUCUUUAAAUAAUAAUUCUAGCAAAAUUUGUGCACCAAAAACUAAAGAAGACCCUUUUGAGGGUAAAAAAAAACCAUCAAAAGUAAGAAUAGAAAACUUGACUUACUAUUACUACGUUUAAUGUUUGUCACUAUGUUUGGAACUAUGGAUAUGGGUGUAGAGGGGCUGGCACAGUUGUUCACUAGUGGUCUAAAGAAAUACAUACAAAAGUACAACCAUUACAAAUCACUUUAAUACAUAAUAGUAUAUAUAUAUAUAUAUACACACACACACACACCUAUUCCACACCUUUACAGAGUGGAAUCCGCAUACACAGCUCUGACGACCCCCAAAAAGUGAUGUCUGUCUUUUGAGCUGAGCUGGACAAGUCUCUAUCUGCAAGAAAUUCAAAUAGGACAAUUUACUGUAUGCAUUGUUAAUAUGUGAUGUAAUGUAGCUAGCAUUAAAACCAAUUGUUAAAGGACAGUACUGUACCAAAACGUGAAUGUGCCGUUAUUAAAUAAGUCAUUACAAAAUGUAAAAUUCUGGCUGCAGAGUCUAACUGGACUGAACUGGUACAAAUAAACAAAACUAUCCCAAACACAUUAAAAUCACUACAUUGCAGAGCCUUGAUUUAUAAUGUGAUUAAUGCUUGCCUUUUGAUAGAGCUCAUGCCACAUUCUCUGCCUUGGGGCUGGCCUGUUCCCUGCCUCCAAAGGGCCAAACACCCGGAACAGCAAAUGUCUUCAGCCUGGCCACCCACUCCUCAUCACCCAUCGCACAGUGCUUUUUUUUAGAUGUCAUCUUAAAGACCACAAGAACAAAUAAGUAACGUUACAUUACUACAGUUAAAUGUUAGCUACAAACAUAGCUAGCUAGCUUAAUAAACUAUUGUUGCUACAGCUAGUUAGCAGACAUGUAUAAGGUACUAGAGAUUGAGACUUGAGUAAAUGUACAAGUACUCUAACAGUGUUCUUUAAGCAUCUUACUUAAGUAGAAGUACUAAAGUAUUCAACAUUUUUUCUACUCCAGUAUUGCAAGUAGUUUAUUUUCUACUCAAGUACUAAAAGUAAAAGUAUUGUGUUUAGUAGUUAUUACAGAAUGUUGUUUGAAUAUCAUAUUGUUUAUAUUAUUUCAGAUGUUAAGUCUAAAGGAAACUUAAAACAGCACAGGAACAGGCAUGAACAGGGCAGAGUACAUUUAUAUAAAGUCUUCAGUUACCUCUCUAAAUAAACUUACCCAGAAGAGAGGCUAAACAGCAAGCCAUUAGAAUAUUUUAACAAAUUUUAACAACUGAAGCUGUCAAAGGCCAAGGGAUUAGAGCAGCUUCAUCAAACCCUGCGAGAGUAUAGAGCAUCUACCCGCUCUGGCUUUAGUGAUAAUGUGAGUUUGGAAUGAUUCCUAACAUUUGAUGAGCAGGGCGAUUCUAGAAUCAUAGGUUUAGGGGUAUUGAGCACAUGUCAAAUCAAACCAGACACACAAACUAUUACAGUACAGGGACAGGUGUGUAACUUCUUAAACAUCUUUUCAACAGAUAAGGAGAUAUAACAUUUAAAAAUAUUUCUAUUUAAAAAAAAAAAUAUCCUAAAGCUCCGUUACCUGGUCUAGUUUAAAUAGCGAAAUGUGGAAAGCUACUCAAAACAGUACUUUAUAGGGCAUCUGCUCACACUGAACAAUGAAAUACAGUUCAUAUAUUUAUUAGUUUUUUUGUUACUUGAAUUUGAAUAUGGCCCUUAAUUAUGGAAACCAACCCAAUAUCCACCACUGACUGAAUGACUGGCUACACUCACACAGUAUCAGGAUUGGGACAUCAGGUCAGAUAACAGAAUAAAGAGCGCUGUUUAAUGUUGUGUGCGCACACGUGAUCGUGCUCAGAGGAGAGAACGUAGAUUAUUAUUGUUGGCAGUUCUUGAGCCCCUAAAAAGGACUGGUGA